ACUCUUCAUCAUCCUGUAAGCUCUUGAGAUGCAUGCAAGUGGCUCUUCUAUGCGUGCAAGAGAAGCCUGGGGACAGGCCAUCCAUGUUGGAAGUCUAUUCAAUGCUCAAGAAUGAAUCUUCAGCCGUGAACUUCCCCAAGAAGCCUGCAUUUUCAAUUAACAAGGAUGAAGAUGAGGAUGGCAAGUGCUUGCUUAAGGAAGCAGUUCAUUCAGUCAAUGAUGCAUCAAUUUCUGAAUUGUUUCCUCGCUGAUUGUACAUUGCAUGUAUCCAGUGUUGUGAAUACUAAUACCAUAAAGAGAUUAUUUUGUUAACUUAUUUGGUUGCCUAGUAAUUCGUAUGUGCCAGUGGCAUUUUUUUUCCCCAAUUAAUUGUAAUAUUUUUUGACAUCUGUGUAUAUAUAUAUUUUUAAUCAUUUAGAGGCAGUUCAAGUUAGAAAUGAUCGAUACCUAAUCCGGUUCAAUUCCACCUGGGUACUGAGAAUCGGACCAGAGGAAUUGGUUUCUAGUUUCUAGAAUUGGGGACUGGACUGACCAGUCCGGUUCAGUUCCUGGAUGGUCUGAAGAAACUGGUCGCCUGCUCUGUUUAUUCCCAGCCUUUGCUUGAUCAUACCAUGAACUCAAGGCGUCGUUCUCACAAUCGGCUUGAAAAGACUUGAGAGUCAUGAGCAAAUCAGACCCCAAACCACACAAAUCCGGCAAUGUUCUUUCUUCCAUCUUAAUAUAGGUUUAAGUGAUGGGACGAUUCGGAGACUUUUGCCUACACAGCACACACCUAGACCUAGAAUCUAGCAAGUCUCGUGAAAAUGAACGGCGAGACACGGGAAAUGUAAUACGAAAAAAGGGCAAAAUACAGAUCAUUACCUUGAUGAGAAUCGAGAUGGAAGAAACAGAGCAAGAGAGGAGGCGAGAGUUGAGAUGAUACCGCGAGAAGGUGGCGUCAAGCUUGAGCAAAAGGGAUGCGACUAAGGCGAGAGAAGGCGACGCCGCGCCGCCAUUUGAGAGGGAAGGACUGAAGAACGAGGCAUCUCGUAAGCUGCGUGAGC
rnacentral:lncRNA from 1 species